GUAUUGCCUUUCAUAACAAAAUACUAACAAUGCCGUUUUUUCUUCCAGGGUUUAAAAAGGCAAAUUCUUCUGAUACUUCAUCUUCCUCCUCCGGAGAUUCAAAUCCUAAGAAAGGGAACAGCGAAGAGGAGAAGAUGAUGAAGGCAAUAAGUUGAAUGCACAAAGACUAAAAGAUUGGCAAAGAUUGUUCAUAAAUUACAUCAAGAAAAUUGUAAUCAACUAUGUGAAAAUCAAUCCUUCAAUAUGURUGAAAACUGUCUUUGGGAAUUUUUCUGUUUUAUCUACAGUUAUAAUUUAAGUUGUCUUUUUUCUUCUUUUUAWUUUGGAUUAAUGUUUUAGUUCUUUAAUUUGAGGUUUGAUUAUAUUGGAUAAAUGACCAAAAUUUGUUGUGUUAAUGCCUGAGUUGAUUUUGAAGUUAAGUGAUUGUUAAACUUGGAUCACACAGUUAGUAUAGCAUGUCAUUAUGUAUAUUUUAAUGCGACUGUGGUAAAUAAUGAGCAAUCAUCAUUAACAUUGGGUUUUCUGUGUGUUUUACAUGAGGUAGAUGUACAACAAAACCUUUAAGUAAAGCUUUUUUGGGAACUUGUUUGAUUAUAAUACUUUGUUUCAAGUGGUGUUUUACUGUUUCUUUGAAUCUCUAUUUUCAAAAAGGUUUGGUAUGUGGUUGUAUAAGUUUAUCAGUGGGAUUUUAUAUAUGAAAUUCCUUCAGAUCUUUUUCUUUAACUUGUAUCUACAAUUUGUUUUAAGUGAAUAAAAUACUUUUAAAAAUAA